rnacentral:rRNA from 1 species
GAGUUUGAUCUUGGCUCAGAUUGAACGCUGGCGGCAGGCCUAACACAUGCAAGUCGAGCGGAUGACGGGAGCUUGCUCCUUGAUUCAGCGGCGGACGGGUGAGUAAUGCCUAGGAAUCUGCCUGGUAGUGGGGGACAACGUUUCGAAAGGAACGCUAAUACCGCAUACGUCCUACGGGAGAAAGCAGGGGACCUCCGGGCCUUGCGCUAUCAGAUGAGCCUAGGUCGGAUUAGCUAGUUGGUGGGGUAAUGGCUCACCAAGGCGACGAUCCGUAACUGGUCUGAGAGGAUGAUCAGUCACACUGGAACUGAGACACGGUCCAGACUCCUACGGGAGGCAGCAGUGGGGAAUAUUGGACAAUGGGCGAAAGCCUGAUCCAGCCAUGCCGCGUGUGUGAAGAAGGUCUUCGGAUUGUAAAGCACUUUAAGUUGGGAGGAAGGCAGUAAGUUAAUACCUUGCUGUUUUGACGUUACCGACAGAAUAAGCACCGGCUAACUCUGUGCCAGCA